CACACACACACACAUUUUAUUUAGUAUGAAUUUAACUUUUUAAGAGUUUGGUUAGUUAAUAUCUCGAUCAUUAUAUAUAAAGCCCCAUUUUUUUUCCCUCCUUCUAGUUAUAUGCUUCUAAUCUCCAUGGUAUUUUCUAUUUCCAGGUGACAACAGUUUCUGGCAAAGACUGAAGUUAAAACAAACAAAAAGGCUCCUUCUGUUACAAAGAUUGAAAAAGAAGUAAAAAGCAGUUCAGCAAAAGCAACCAGCAUAUCAACCAUGCCUGACAACAUAUGCCACAGUCUACACCCCAAUUCCCCCAGUUCUGCAAAGGAGAAGUGCUUCUUCUCAACUCUUCUUCAUGGCCAAACCUGAUCAUUAUAAUUAGCAUUCAGUUGUUUGUUUUUUUGGUGGGGGUAUCAUUCCAUUUACAAUACUGUAGAAACUGAGCAUACUGUCUUCCUUGUUCUUCUUACUUUACUCUGUAUCAUCUCAGCUAAAUCUUCUCAUUCUUUUAUGAAUUUUUAAUAUUCAUCAUUUCAUACAGUAAGAUUCCACUACAUUCAUGUACUUCAAUUUUAGCCAUUUACCUACUGAUGGACAGAGACUUUGCUUACAAUUCUGUUACCAUAGAAAGUGUUAAGCAUUUAUUGAUAUGCUAGAUGUAGAAUUAGAAAAGCCUAAAUGGCUUCUAAAGACUAACUAUCCAACCUUCCACUUAAUGCAGGAAUCCCCUUUAGAAAAUUCAUCAGUGGCCAACUAGUCUCUGAAUAAUUUGUGUUGCGGAGAUUACUACUUAUGAAAGGCAACCCAUCCUAUUACUUAACAGAACUGCUAAAUUUUUAGAAAAUACUUUCAAAAACAUCUCUCUGAUCUACUCCAGGGCAAAAGCAUCACUUAUGCCUGAUGAUACAAUGACUACAAUAUUAUUUCAACCCAAAACUUAUUUUAUACCAAAACUCUUGGAAUAACGGCUUUUUGAUAUUUUUUUCCUUUGUGACAAAGUGACUUGAACAGUGCCUUGUUAUGUAUUUUUUUAAAAGUGACUAAUUAUAAAAUCCUCAAACAUUUAAAAUAUU